rnacentral:rRNA from 1 species
CAGCCGCCGCGGUAAUACGAAGGGUGCAAGCGUUACUCGGAAUUACUGGGCGUAAAGCGUGGGUAGGUGGUGGUUUAAGUCCGUUGUGAAAGCCCUGGGCUCAACCUGGGAAUUGCAGUGGAUACUGGGUCACUAGAGUGUGGUAGAGGAUAGUGGAAUUCCCGGUGUAGCAGUGAAAUGCGUAGAGAUCGGAAGGAACAUCUGUGGCGAGGGCGACUAUCUGGGCCAACACUGACACUGGGGCACGAAAGCGUGGGGAGCAAACAGGAUUAGAUACCCGCGUAGUCCCUGUCUCUUAUAC